rnacentral:rRNA from 1 species
AGACCUGGCGGCGGCCUAACACAUGCAGUCGAGCGGAAACGAGUUAUCUGAACCUUCGGGGAACGAUAACGGCGUCGAGCGGCGGACGGGUGAGUAAUGCCUAGGAAAUUGCCCUGAUGUGGGGGAUAACCAUUGGAAACGAUGGCUAAUACCGCAUGAUGCCUACGGGCCAAAGAGGGGGACCUUCGGGCCUCUCGCGUCAGGAUAUGCCUAGGUGGGAUUAGCUAGUUGGUGAGGUAAGGGCUCACCAAGGCGACGAUCCCUAGCUGGUCUGAGAGGAUGAUCAGCCACACUGGAACUGAGACACGGUCCAGACUCCUACGGGAGGCAGCAGUGGGGAAUAUUGCACAAUGGGCGCAAGCCUGAUGCAGCCAUGCCGCGUGUGUGAAGAAGGCCUUCGGGUUGUAAAGCACUUUCAGUCGUGAGGAAGGCGGUGUCGUUAAUAGCGGCAUCGUUUGACGUUAGCGACAGAAGAAGCACCGGCUAACUCCGUGCCAGCAGCCGCGGUAAUACGGAGGGUGCGAGCGUUAAUCGGAAUUACUGGGCGUAAAGCGCAUGCAGGUGGUUUGUUAAGUCAGAUGUGAAAGCCCGGGGCUCAACCUCGGAAUAGCAUUUGAAACUGGCAGACUAGAGUACUGUAGAGGGGGGUAGAAUUUCAGGUGUAGCGGUGAAAUGCGUAGAGAUCUGAAGGAAUACCGGUGGCGAAGGCGGCCCCCUGGACAGAUAC